AACGAACGCUGGCGGCAUGCCUAACACAUGCAAGUCGAACGAGACCUCCGGGUCUAGUGGCGCACGGGUGCGUAACGCGUGGGAAUCUGCCCUUGGGUCUGGAAUAACAGUUAGAAAUGACUGCUAAUACCGGAUGAUGACUUCGGUCCAAAGAUUUAUCGCCCAGGGAUGAGCCCGCGUCGGAUUAGCUAGUUGGUGAGGUAAAAGCUCACCAAGGCGACGAUCCGUAGCUGGUCUGAGAGGAUGAUCAGCCACACUGGGACUGAGACACGGCCCAGACUCCUACGGGAGGCAGCAGUGGGGAAUAUUGGACAAUGGGCGAAAGCCUGAUCCAGCAAUGCCGCGUGAGUGAUGAAGGCCUUAGGGUUGUAAAGCUCUUUUACCCGGGAUGAUAAUGACAGUACCGGGAGAAUAAGCCCCGGCUAACUCCGUGCCAGCCGCCGCCGUAA
rnacentral:rRNA from 1 species